GUCGUGAGAUGUUGGGUUAAGUCCCGCAACGAGCGCAACCCCCGUCUCUAGUUACCAGCGGGUAAAGCCGGGCACUCUAGAGAGACUGCCGGUGCCAAACCGGAGGAAGGUGGGGACGACGUCAAGUCAUCAUGGUCCUUACGUCCAGGGCUACACACGUGCUACAAUGGGCGGGACAAAGGGUUGCAAAGUCGCAAGGCGGAGCCAAUCCCGUAAACCCGUCCUCAGUUCGGAUUGUCCUCUGCAACCCGAGGGCAUGAAGCUGGAAUCGCUAGUAAUCGUGGAUCAGCUACGCCACGGUGAAUACGUUCCCGGGCCUUGUACACACCGCCCGUCACGCCAUGGAAGCUGUGAGCGCCCGAAGUCCGUGCAGCAACCCGCAAGGGAGCAAGCGGCCGAAGGCGAGCGCAGUGACUGGGGCGAAGUCGUAACGAGGUAGCCGUACCGGAAGGUGCGGCUGGAUCACCUCCUUUCUAAGGAGUCCUGGCAACCGCCACCCGUGGCGGAAGCAAGGUCGAUCACUGGCUAUUCGGCCGAGCACGCUCGAUCUCUCAACCAAGUACGACCCUCGGGUCGGAACGGAUGAGGGGCGUCGCGUUCGGCCCGGCACACUGUUCAGCUCUGGGGGUGCGAGCCUCCGAGCACCUUGAGAACUCGAUAGCGAGCGCGAGCAUCUAUCUGCCAAGUUACUAAGGGCUCACGGUGGAUGCCUUGGCGCCAGGAGCCGAUGAAGGACGCGUCAGGCUGCGAAAAGCUCCGGGGAGCCGCCGAGAAGGCUGAGAUCCGGAGGUGU
rnacentral:sRNA from 1 species